rnacentral:rRNA from 1 species
CAGGCUUAACACAUGCAAGUCGAGGGGCAUCAGGAAGAAAGCUUGCUUUCUUUGCUGGCGACCGGCGCACGGGUGAGUAACACGUAUCCAACCUGCCCUUUACUCGGGGAUAGCCUUUCGAAAGAAAGAUUAAUACCCGAUAGCAUAAUGAUUCCGCAUGGUUUCAUUAUUAAAGGAUUCCGGUAAAGGAUGGGGAUGCGUUCCAUUAGGUUGUUGGUGAGGUAACGGCCCACCAAGCCUUCGAUGGAUAGGGGUUCUGAGAGGAAGGUCCCCCACAUUGGAACUGAGACACGGUCCAAACUCCUACGGGAGGCAGCAGUGAGGAAUAUUGGUCAAUGGGCGCUAGCCUGAACCAGCCAAGUAGCGUGAAGGAUGAAGGCUCUAUGGGUCGUAAACUUCUUUUAUAUAAGAAUAAAGUGCAGUAUGUAUACUGUUUUGUAUGUAUUAUAUGAAUAAGGAUCGGCUAACUCCGUGCCAGCAGCCGCGGUAAUACGGAGGAUCCGAGCGUUAUCCGGAUUUAUUGGGUUUAAAGGGAGCGUAGGUGGACAGGUAAGUCAGUUGUGAAAGUUUGCGGCUCAACCGUAAAAUUGCAGUUGAUACUGUCAGUCUUGAGUACAGUAGAGGUGGGCGGAAUUCGUGGUGUAGCGGUGAAAUGCUUAGAUAUCACGAAGAACUCCGAUUGCGAAGGCAGCUCACUGGACUGCAACUGACACUGAUGCUCGAAAGUGUGGGUAUCAAACAGGAUUAGAUACCCUGGUAGUCCACACAGUAAACGAUGAAUACUCGCUGUUUGCGAUAUACAGUAAGCGGCCAAGCGAAAGCAUUAAGUAUUCCACCUGGGGAGUACGCCGGCAACGGUGAAACUCAAAGGAAUUGACGGGGGCCCGCACAAGCGGAGGAACAUGUGGUUUAAUUCGAUGAUACGCGAGGAACCUUACCCGGGCUUAAAUUGCAGUGGAAUGAUGUGGAAACAUGUCAGUGAGCAAUCACCGCUGUGAAGGUGCUGCAUGGUUGUCGUCAGCUCGUGCCGUGAGGUGUCGGCUUAAGUGCCAUAACGAGCGCAACCCUUAUCUUUAGUUACUAACAGGUUAUGCUGAGGACUCUAGAGAGACUGCCGUCGUAAGAUGUGAGGAAGGUGGGGAUGACGUCAAAUCAGCACGGCCCUUACGUCCGGGGCUACACACGUGUUACAAUGGGGGGUACAGAAGGCAGCUAGCGGGUGACCGUAUGCUAAUCCCAAAAUCCUCUCUCAGUUCGGAUCGAAGUCUGCAACCCGACUUCGUGAAGCUGGAUUCGCUAGUAAUCGCGCAUCAGCCACGGCGCGGUGAAUACGUUCCCGGGCCUUGUACACACCGCCCGUCAAGCCAUGGGAGCCGGGGGUACCUGAAGUACGUAACCGCAAGGAUCGUCCUAGGGUAAAACUGGUGACUGGGGCUAAGUCGU